rnacentral:rRNA from 1 species
UACGGAGGGUGCAAGCGUUAUCCGGAUUCACUGGGUUUAAAGGGUGCGUAGGCGGGUAGGUAAGUCAGUGGUGAAAUCUUCGAGCUUAACUCGGAAACUGCCGUUGAUACUAUCUAUCUUGAAUACCGUGGAGGUGAGCGGAAUAUGUCAUGUAGCGGUGAAAUGCUUAGAUAUGACAUAGAACACCAAUUGCGAAGGCAGCUCGCUGCACGAAUAUUGACGCUGAGGCACGAAAGCGUGGGGAGCAAACAGG